rnacentral:hammerhead_ribozyme from 1 species
AUUCAACCGACGAGUCCCAAAUAGGACGAAACGCGUAUCCUAGAU